UGUGGACCUUCGGGUGAGGUGAGUACUCCGUAC
rnacentral:rRNA from 1 species